GAUGAACGCUGGCGGCGUGCCUAAUACAUGCAAGUCGAGCGAACAGAUGAGGAGCUUGCUCCUCUGACGUUAGCGGCGGACGGGUGAGUAACACGUGGAUAACCUACCUAUAAGACUGGGAUAACUUCGGGAAACCGGAGCUAAUACCGGAUAAUAUAUUGAACCGCAUGGUUCAAUAGUGAAAGACGGUUUUGCUGUCACUUAUAGAUGGAUCCGCGCCGCAUUAGCUAGUUGGUAAGGUAACGGCUUACCAAGGCAACGAUCCGUAGCCGACCUGAGAGGGUGAUCGGCCACACUGGAACUGAGACACGGUCCAGACUCCUACGGGAGGCAGCAGUAGGGAAUCUUCCGCAAAGGGCGAAAGCCUGACGGAGCAACGCCGCGUGAGUGAUGAAGGUCUUCGGAUCGUAAAACUCUGUUAUUAGGGAAGAACAAAUGUGUAAGUAACUAUGCACGUCUUGACGGUACCUAAUCAGAAAGCCACGGCUAACUACGUG
rnacentral:rRNA from 1 species